rnacentral:rRNA from 1 species
UACGUAGGGUGCAAGCGUUAAUCGGAAUUACUGGGCGUAAAGAGCUCGUAGGCGGUUGGGUAAGUCGGGUGUGAAAACUCCGGGCUCAACUCGGAGACGCCACCCGAUACUGCUCUGACUUGAGUCCGGUAGGGGAGUGGGGAAUUCCUGGUGUAGCGGUGGAAUGCGCAGAUAUCAGGAGGAACACCGGUGGCGAAGGCGGUUCUCUGGGCAUUACCUGACGGCUGAGGAGCGAAAGUGUCGGGGAGCGAACAGG